rnacentral:rRNA from 1 species
CACGUAGGCGGCUUUCUAAGUCGGAGGUGAAAUCCUGAAGCUCAACUUCAGAACUGCCUUCGAUACUGGAGAGCUCGAGUUCGGGAGAGGUGAGUGGAACUGCGAGUGUAGAGGUGAAAUUCGUAGAUAUUCGCAAGAACACCAGUGGCGAAGGCGGCUCACUGGCCCGAUACUGACGCUGAGGUGCGAAAGCGUGGGGAGCAAACA